GUAGGCGGUGCGGCAAGUUGGGAGUGAAAUCUCUGGGCUCAACCCAGAGGCUGCUUCCAAAACUGCUGUGCUUGAGUGUGAGAGAGGCUCGUGGAAUUGCAGGUGUAGCGGUGAAAUGCGUAGAUAUCUGCAGGAACACCCGUGGCGAAAGCGGCGAGCUGGAUCACUACUGACGCUGAGGAACGAAAGCUAGGGGAGCAAACAGGAUUAGAUACCCUGGUAGUCCUAGCCCUAAACGAUCAGGACUUGGGGUGCCGCCCGUUCGGGCGUCGUCCCGGAGCUAACGCGUUAAGUCCUGCACCUGGGGAGUACGGUCGCAAGACUGAAACUCAAAGGAAUUGACGGGGGCCCGCACAAGCGGUGGAACAUGUGGUUCAAUUCGACGCUACGCGAGGAACCUUACCUGGGCUCGAAAUGCUAGUGACCAGCUGUAGAAAUACGGCCUUCCCGCAAGGGACACUAGUAUAGGCGCUGCAUGGCUGUCGUCAGCUCGUGCCGUGAGGUGUUGGGUUAAGUCCCGCAACGAGCGCAACCCUUGCACACAGUUACUACUCGCAAGAGAGGACUCUGUGUGGACUGCUCCGGAUAACGGAGAGGAAGGUGGGGAUGACGUCAAGUCCGCAUGGCCUUUAUGUCCAGGGCUACACACGUGUUACAAUGCAGGGCACAAACCGUUGCCAACCCGCGAGGGGGAGCUAAUCGGAAAAAACUCUGCUCAGUUCGGAUUGCAGUCUGCAACUCGACUGCAUGAAGCCGGAAUCGCUAGUAAUGGCGUAUCAGAUCGACGCCGUGAAUACGUUCCCGGGCCUUGUACACACCGCCCGUCACAUCACGAAAGUGAGUUGUACUAGAAG
rnacentral:rRNA from 1 species